rnacentral:rRNA from 1 species
GAUGAACGCUGGCGGCGUGCCUAAUACAUGCAAGUCGAGCGAACAGAUGAGGAGCUUGCUCCUCUGACGUUAGCGGCGGACGGGUGAGUAACACGUGGAUAACCUACCUAUAAGACUGGGAUAACUUCGGGAAACCGGAGCUAAUACCGGAUAAUAUAUUGAACCGCAUGGUUCAAUAGUGAAAGACGGUUUUGCUGUCACUUAUAGAUGGAUCCGCGCCGCAUUAGCUAGUUGGUAAGGUAACGGCUUACCAAGGCAACGAUGCGUAGCCGACCUGAGAGGGUGACGGGCCACACUGGAACUGAGACACGGUCCAGACUCCUACGGGAGGCAGCAGUAGGGAAUCUUCCGCAAUGGGCGAAAGCCUGACGGAGCAACGCCGCGUGAGUGAUGAAGGUCUUCGGAUCGUAAAACUCUGUUAUUAGGGAAGAACAAAUGUGUAAGUAACUAUGCACGUCUUGACGGUACCUAAUCAGAAAGCCACGGCUAACUACGUG